UACGUAGGGGGCUAGCGUUGUCCGGAAUCAUUGGGCGUAAAGCGCGCGUAGGCGGCCCGGUAAGUCCGCUGUGAAAGUCCAGGGCUCAACCCUGGAAAGCCGGUGGAUACUGCCGGGCUAGAGUCCGGGAGAGGCGAGUGGAAUCCCUGGUGUAGCGGUGGAAUGCGCAGAUAUCAGGAAGAACACCCGUGGCGAAAGCGGCUCUCUGGAACGGUACUGACGCUGAGGUGCGAAAGCGUGGGGAGCAAACAGG
rnacentral:rRNA from 1 species